AGAGUUUGAUCAUGGCUCAGAUUGAACGCUGGCGGCAGGCCUAACACAUGCAAGUCGAACGGUAACAGGAAGCAGCUUGCUGCUUCGCUGACGAGUGGCGGACGGGUGAGUAAUGUCUGGGAAACUGCCUGAUGGAGGGGGAUAACUACUGGAAACGGUGGCUAAUACCGCAUAACGUCGCAAGACCAAAGAGGGGGACCUUCGGGCCUCUUGCCAUCAGAUGUGCCCAGAUGGGAUUAGCUAGUUGGUGAGGUAACGGCUCACCAAGGCGACGAUCCCUAGCUGGUCUGAGAGGAUGACCAGCCACACUGGAACUGAGACACGGUCCAGACUCCUACGGGAGGCAGCAGUGGGGAAUAUUGCACAAUGGGCGCAAGCCUGAUGCAGCCAUGCCGCGUGUAUGAAGAAGGCCUUCGGGUUGUAAAGUACUUUCAGCGGGGAGGAAGGUGUUGUGGUUAAUAACCGCAGCAAUUGACGUUACCCGCAGAAGAAGCACCGGCUAACUCCGUGCCAGCAGCCGCGGUAAUACGGAGGGUGCAAGCGUUAAUCGGAAUUACUGGGCGUAAAGCGCACGCAGGCGGUCUGUCAAGUCGGAUGUGAAAUCCCCGGGCUCAACCUGGGAACUGCAUUCGAAACUGGCAGGCUUGAGUCUUGUAGAGGGGGGUAGAAUUCCAGGUGUAGCGGUGAAAUGCGUAGAGAUCUGGAGGAAUACCGGUGGCGAAGGCGGCCCCCUGGACAAAGACUGACGCUCAGGUGCGAAAGCGUGGGGAGCAAACAGGAUUAGAUACCCUGGUAGUCCACGCCGUAAACGAUGUCUACUUGGAGGUUGUGCCCUUGAGGCGUGGCUUCCGGAGCUAACGCGUUAAGUAGACCGCCUGGGGAGUACGGCCGCAAGGUUAAAACUCAAAUGAAUUGACGGGGGCCCGCACAAGCGGUGGAGCAUGUGGUUUAAUUCGAUGCAACGCGAAGAACCUUACCUGGUCUUGACAUCCACAGAACUUUCCAGAGAUGGAUUGGUGCCUUCGGGAACUGUGAGACAGGUGCUGCAUGGCUGUCGUCAGCUCGUGUUGUGAAAUGUUGGGUUAAGUCCCGCAACGAGCGCAACCCUUAUCCUUUGUUGCCAGCGGUUAGGCCGGGAACUCAAAGGAGACUGCCAGUGAUAAACUGGAGGAAGGUGGGGAUGACGUCAAGUCAUCAUGGCCCUUACGACCAGGGCUACACACGUGCUACAAUGGCGCAUACAAAGAGAAGCGACCUCGCGAGAGCAAGCGGACCUCAUAAAGUGCGUCGUAGUCCGGAUUGGAGUCUGCAACUCGACUCCAUGAAGUCGGAAUCGCUAGUAAUCGUGGAUCAGAAUGCCACGGUGAAUACGUUCCCGGGCCUUGUACACACCGCCCGUCACACCAUGGGAGUGGGUUGCAAAAGAAGUAGGUAGCUUAACCUUCGGGAGGGCGCUUACCACUUUGUGAUUCAUGACUGGGGUGAAGUCGUAACAAGGUAACCGUAGGGGAACCUGCGGUUGGAUCACCUCCUU
rnacentral:rRNA from 1 species